ensembl:lncRNA
GUCACAGCUGAGGUUAACCGUGAGAUAUUUAAUGCUGUGAAGCACAAGAGAAGGAUCUAAAUGCUUGAAAACUGAUGCACCAAAUGUCUCUUCCUGAAGACAAACCUGCAGGAUUUGCUUGGUGUAGGGUCACAAUUUAGGAACAAGAUCCUCAGCUGGGAUAAAGAAACUGAGGCGCAGGCUCCAGGCAUCCUGCAGAAGUGUAACAUGAGGUUAAAAUGGGUGUGAAACAGGCCUCCCAUAUAUACCUUGCACCGUUUCCACCUCUAGGCCGGGGGGACUCUUUGAAACCAGAGCAGCAGCCAUAGGCAAGAGAAAGAGGAGCACCUCUCUUAGAGGAAAUCCUCAGUCUUGGAGAAAGGAGCCAGUCUACGAGUUAGAGGGGACGCUAGGACAGACUGCCUGCCUGCCGAAAGCCGCGCGCAGGAGGCGGAGGCUGCUCCACGGCGCAAAGGAGAUGGAGGGGGUUCAUAUGUCACUUCUGAAUGGAGUCCAAGGUAAUUAAUCCUCCAUGUGGGCCCUCAACGAAGGGAGAUGCUUUCCAUGGCCUGGAACCAGUCAGUGAUAGCUUCACCUCCAGGAGUAGCACGAAAUUUCAGGGGACCCAGCUGAGGGAUUUGACAAAAUCGGUGAGGCUGUGGUUUGUUCUCUCUUGUCAUUCAAUAGUCCUGAGCCGCUUGUUGGUGCGAGGCCUGCCAGCAAUGAUGGAGAGACCUGCUCAGCUCUUGGCAAUGACAUUUUUUGCGCAGCCCCAAACCCAGAGCUCUCCUGUAAUGCUCACUGUUCCCUUCUGCAUCCUACUCUACAGCUGUGGUGCUGCCCGGUCCCAAUGUCUGGACGUGACCUUGUGGGCAGCAGAAGCUGCUUGCAGGUUUUUCAGGCCUCCAGCAAGGUUAUCCAGAAAUGAGAGAACUCUAGCAGAAAAGCUUGCCUCACCAGAUAAAAGCUGGAGGAUUUGGCUUUGUCUCAAAGUCUUGGAUCUAAUUGAAAUACUUCAAGAGCGAACAUGGGCACUGGGUCAACUGUGUGGUCCUUGAGCCUUAGGACCCUUGCAAAAUACAUGCUGUGUGCAGGCUUCGGUGUGCCCUGAAGCCUCUAACCCACUAUUUCCAUGUAAAUUGAACUUGUAAUUUUUGUCAAGAGAGAUUUAAUGAAGAGAAGUCUGCGGCGUUCUUCAGGAAUAAAAAGGAGCAUAUUGGGAAACCUGAACUGGCA